UAUUUAAUUUUUAAUGUACUUAUUAUAAGUUAUAAAUAUUGUUAUUAAUUAUUAGUCACCACCAUGAAUACAAACAAAUAAUGAAUUUCCAAAAACUGAAAUACUGAAUUCGGCUGAUGUUUCUCCGGACAUAGGGUACCAAAGGGGCCACUGGAGCCAUGCUCUUACGGAAAGUGGUUAUAGGUUGAUGCAAGCAUGCUCAAUUCUUGAUAUUAAUCAUUAAUGUCUGUAGCGAAAAUGUAUCUGUACAAGCAAGACCACCACACCCAACGCCAUGAGCUAGAUCUGGACUCUGAAGCGUGCACCCGCAUUACAAGUUCCCUUGCCGACCAUCAAUUUAUUUCGUCACAAUUUGCAUUUCCAAAUUCGCUGGAGGCUAUCGUAACUUGGUCGACAUGGCUCCACCCUCCAUCACGCUGGCGCAAUUCCAAAUGCUUUAUUGUGGCCAAGGUUAGGGACAGGGUGCCAGUUGCGCCCCGAAAAAAAACGGUAGACUGGAGCAUAUAUCGCUGAAAGUCGGAAUUAGCUUCUCGGGAACAGUCCAGCAGAAUAGGAGGACCGACAUGCCGGCAAUACGAGGAGCAGUCCACACUGCUAGCGGAAGAUGCAUAUGACGACGCAGUCAGUGGCACUGAGAUGUGCGAAAAGCUGCGGACCAGCGGGCAGCAAGCUCUAUGUGAGCGCAGCAUCAGUAGUUACAACCGAAUCCGGCAUUAUGAAAAGAUGGAGUAGAGUUGCUGUGAUGAGGACACCAACAGGAUUGACGAAGCGGGCAGUGAAUAAGCUGGCAGGUCACGGAGCCGCCAGUAAUUCACAAAUUUCUACUAACCAAAGACAUUAGAAUAACAAGAUGCGUAACGGCCAUACAUUGGUUUUGCACUCUGAAGACGAUUUUCGGGCCGAAAUCCAUUCUGAUCCAAGAAACGAAUUUACAUAUUUACAUAAAUAAUUACAGCAA